rnacentral:misc_RNA from 1 species
UGAAAAAAAUUAUAUUUUUUUUAAGUUGGCAGUCCAUUUUUUAUGCGCAUGCGCGUUGAAGUAUAGCGGCUUACAACUUACAAUUAGUUCGACUAAUAAAAGUAUGUCUGUGUGUGUGUGUGUGUGUGUGUGUGUUAGAUUAUUCUUAAAAAUUAUCUCAUUUCUUUUUUUUUUAAUAAUUCCUUUAGAACGUUUAUUUUAGCGCUCAUAAUAUUUCUUACACACAUAUGGCUUUGUGCCAAGCGUGCGCACAAAAACCGGUCUGACCUAACGUCGCGGGAUCGAGAGAGGCACCCUAGAAGUGCACAAAGAAACGUGAUAAGAAAAAAAAAGAUUAUCGAGAGUUCAACACACAAGGAGAAAGCCAGAGAGAGAGAGAGAAAGAAAGAAAAAGAGUAAAUAAACGAAACUACGCUACGCGCUGUCAGCCAGUCAGCUGAUUCGCGUUCGCCAGCAUUUCGCGAUACAGCGGCUGUUUGCUUUGGCUUUGGCGCUGCUAGAUUGUACAUACACGUCCAAUUAUUUAUCACCCGUGAUAUGCUGAGGUUUCGGAAAUUAUUUCCACAACCCUGCUCAAUCAUAGCAAUGGUGCACGUGGGAGCGCUCCCUGGAACACCAAGGUAUAAAGGCUGCACCGAGAAGGUCGUGGAAAAUGCAACGAAAGAAGCAUUAAUGUACGCGAAAUAUAAUGUGGAUGGCAUACUGAUUGAAAAUAUGCACGAUAUUCCCUAUGUUAGGCAAAGAGAUCUGUCACCGGAGAUCACAACUAUGAUGACAAGAAUUUGUUCGGAAGUUAGAAAAGUUGUGCCGCAAAAUAUCGCAUGUGGCGUUCAGAUUCUUGCAGGGUGCAACAGAGAAGCGAUCGCGGUUGCCAAGGCUACGGGAUUGCAAUUUAUUAGAGCCGAAGGAUUCGUCUUCUCCCACAUAGCCGAUGAAGGCUUUAUUGAUGCAAAUGCCGGAACUUUAUUAAGAUAUAGAAAACAGAUUGACGCCGACAACAUUCUCAUUUUCGCUGACGUCAAGAAAAAGCAUAGAAGUGCGGAAGCAUGUCGUGGCGAGGCUGCCGUUGCUGAUCGGCUCGGGCGUGACAUUGGACAACGUGGACAAUUACGCGAACGCGGCGGACGCGCUGAUUGUGGGAUCAUACCUGAAGACAGCCGGCCGAUGGGAGAACGCGCCCGAUCCGGAGAGAGUCCAGGCCUUUGUCGGACAUUUAAAAGGCCAACAGCGCCUAUGACGACACGCAAUUCUGUAGGCAGCGCGUGAGGGAGCCAGCCGGAGACCGGCAGCUGUUCGACCAGCUGAGCGAGCUUCGAUUGUCGCCGUCAGGGCUGAAUAUCGCGCAUUCGCGAAGCUGGCACUUUGGUGCCUCCGGAAACCACAGAGACGUACGAGAAAUCUCUGCCAACGAAGAUAGAAGACGCAAACGCCAAUAAAUAAAAUCAGGAGGCUAUCUCUUAAUCGUGGAAUCCAAAGAACCAUUGGAAUCAGCAUUUUAGGAGGGGAGGAGCGGGCAGGAGAGGGCAAAAAAAAAUCAUUAUUCUAACGCAACGUAUCGACUCCGCGGAUCUAUACCAAGCACACUCGUCAAAAUACACCCCUGACAUCGCUCUAUGAAGCACCACCCUACCCUAUCCCUUUCCCCUCUCUCUUCACUCCCCCUCGCAACCAUACAUCGACAUUGUCUUUCCCUUCUACGUUGUAACCCUCGCCCUCGCUAUUCCCUC